rnacentral:rRNA from 1 species
UACGUAGGGCGCAAGCGUUAUCCGGAAUUAUUGGGCGUAAAGAGCUCGUAGGCGGUUUGUCACGUCUGCUGUGAAAACUGGAGGCUCAACCUCCAGCCUGCAGUGGGUACGGGCAGACUGGAGUGCGGUAGGGGAGAUUGGAAUUCCUGGUGUAGCGGUGGAAUGCGCAGAUAUCAGGAGGAACACCGAUGGCGAAGGCAGAUCUCUGGGCCGUAACUGACGCUGAGGAGCGAAAGCAUGGGGAGCGAACAGG